GUCAGCUCGUGUCGUGAGAUGUUCGGUUAAGUCCGCUAACGAGCGCAACCCUCGUCGUGUGUUAUAUGUGUCAUACGAGACUGCCGGUAAAAAGCCGGAGGAAGGUGAGGAUGAUGUCAAGUCAGCAUGACCUUUAUAUCCAGGGCUACACACACGCUACAAUGGUCUGUACAAUGGGUAGCCAAGCCGCGAGGCGGAGCCAAUCCUGAAAGCAGGCCUCAGUUCAGAUUGCAGUCUGCAACUCGACUGCAUGAAGCCGGAGUUGCUAGUAACCGCAGGCAGCAAUACUGCGGUGAAUACGUUCCCGGGUCUU
rnacentral:rRNA from 1 species